UACGAAGGGGGCUAGCGUUGCUCGGAAUUACUGGGCGUAAAGGGCGCGUAGGCGGAGAGUUUAGUCAGAGGUGAAAGCCCAGGGCUCAACCUUGGAAUUGCCUUUGAUACUGGCUGUCUUGAGUACGGGAGAGGUGAGUGGAACUCCGAGUGUAGAGGUGAAAUUCGUAGAUAUUCGGAAGAACACCAGUGGCGAAGGCGACUCACUGGCCCGUUACUGACGCUGAGGCGCGAAAGCGUGGGGAGCAAACAGG
rnacentral:rRNA from 1 species